CCGGGUUGACGCAGGCACCCGGUCCUAAACAGACGGUUUCGUCCCAAGCGCUGC
rnacentral:ncRNA from 1 species